UUUUUAAAUUUUUUAUCAAAAAAAUCAAAUUUAUAUAUUAUUUACUUUUUUAACUUUAUUAAUAUAAUCGUUGAGAUCCGUGUUGUAUUUUUAGCUCUUUAAUAGACCUACAUGUAAGAUUCUUCUAGUAAGUUAUUUAUAAAUAAAUUUUAAAAAGAGAUUCUCAGUAGUUAAUAUUAGAAAUAUAUUAAAGUUUUAUCUAGGUAAUUAUGUAGAAGUGGAAAAUGGCGUGCCAGCAGCCGCGGUUAUACUCCUGCUUCAAGUUAAAAAUUAUUCACAGAAUUGUGUUUAAAUCGUAAUUUAGGAAGUUUACUUGAGAUUGAUAGGUAGAAUUUUAAUUUUAGAAAACGACAUAAAUAUUUAAACAUAGAAGUUGUAGUAGGGACCAGGAUUAGAUACCCUGUUACUUACAAGUAAAAAUUUCUGGAACAGUAAUAGUAAUGAAAUUUAACGGAUUUGGCGGCAAGAUAGCCAUUUAGAGGAACCUGCCCUAUAAUCGAUGAACCACGAAUUACCCUACUUUUUCUUGAAUUCAGUUUGUAUACCGCUGUUGUCAGUUAGUUUCAUCAGAAAACUUUCAUAAAUGAAAAAUUCAACGACUUCAAGUAAAGGUGCAGCUUAUGAAAAAGAUAGAGGUGGGUUACAUUUAUAAGAAUAAAACGGAUAAAGUUUUUGAAAUUAACUUUUGAAGGUGGAUUUAAUUGUAAAGUUUUAUUAAACUUGAUGAGAGCUCUGUCUUGUGUACACACCGCCCGUCGCUCUCUUUUUUAAACGAGAUAAGUCGUAACAAGGUAAGUGUAAUGGAAAUUGCACUUGA
rnacentral:ncRNA from 1 species